rnacentral:rRNA from 1 species
UACAGAGGCCUCAAGCGUUAGGCGGAAUCACUGGGCUUAAAGCGUGUGUAGGCGGACUUCUAAGUACCUUGUGAAAUCCCACGGCUUAACUGUGGAACUGCUUGGUAUACUGGUUGUCUUGAGCCACUCAGGGGCGAGCGGAACAAAUGGUGGAGCGGUGAAAUGCGUAGAUAUCAUUUGGAACGCCAAUGGUGAAAACAGCUCGCUGGGGGUGUGACUGACGCUGGAGACACGAAAGCCAGGGGAGCGAACGGG